rnacentral:rRNA from 1 species
GACGAACGCUGGCGGCGUGCUUAACACAUGCAAGUCGAACGGAAAGGCCCUGCUUUUGUGGGGUGCUCGAGUGGCGAACGGGUGAGUAACACGUGAGUAACCUGCCCUUGACUUUGGGAUAACUUCAGGAAACUGGGGCUAAUACCGGAUAGGAGCUCCUGCUGCAUGGUGGGGGUUGGAAAGUUUCGGCGGUUGGGGAUGGACUCGCGGCUUAUCAGCUUGUUGGUGGGGUAGUGGCUUACCAAGGCUUUGACGGGUAGCCGGCCUGAGAGGGUGACCGGACACAUUGGGACUGGGAUACGGCCCAGACUACUACGGGAGGCAGCAGUGGGGAAUAGUGCACAAUGGGAGGAAGCCUGAUGCAGCAACGCCGCGUGCGGGAUGACGGCCUGCGGGUUGUAAACCGCUUUCGCCUGUGACGAAGCGUGAGUGACGGUAAUGGGUAAAGAAGCACCGGCUAACUACGUG